CCCCACCCUCGGCCCCCAGCUGUAGCUUUUUUGGGACUGGGAGAGCUGCUGGGAGCCACGCUGCAGAGCCACCUCUUGCAAAGUGUUACGGAAUACGGAUAAGUGGAUGGCCGUAAAAAAGUACAUGUGUACACAUGUGUUGGAUGUCUUGAGGAGGGAGAGGUUUCUCUGGGCAGAAAAUCUGUAAUCACUCUUGCUGAAGUUGGACCCGUUCCCAAAUUCAUUGUUCUUCAAAGGCAGGAAAAGAACAUUUCUUCUCAGAAGCAAAAAAUGAUUAGAGCCACACCCAGCACAGUCACCUUCAAAAGCUCCUGUUCGGAAAACGAAGCAGAAAUCCAAAAUUGGAUGAGGAUUUCGAUUGUGGGGGCGGAAAAAAGGGGACAUUAUAAAAAUACUUUGAGUGUUUCUCUGUUCUUCCUAUUUGUUUCAAACAGAUCAUUUUAGGCAUGGAAACGUGUGGGACAGGUAUUUCCCCACCACCAAUAAAUAGGAUGCAGUUUAAGGGAGUCAGAGCAGGAUUUUACCA